rnacentral:rRNA from 1 species
AUUGAACGCUGGCGGCAGGCCUAACACAUGCAAGUCGAGCGGAUGAAGAGAGCUUGCUCUCUGAUUCAGCGGCGGACGGGUGGGUAAUGCCUAGGAAUCUGCCUGGUAGUGGGGGACAACGUCUCGAAAGGGACGCUAAUACCGCAUACGUCCUACGGGAGAAAGCAGGGGACCUUCGGGCCUUGCGCUAUCAGAUGAGCCUAGGUCGGAUUAGCUAGUUGGUGAGGUAAUGGCUCACCAAGGCGACGAUCCGUAACUGGUCUGAGAGGAUGAUCAGUCACACUGGAACUGAGACACGGUCCAGACUCCUACGGGAGGCAGCAGUGGGGAAUAUUGGACAAUGGGCGAAAGCCUGAUCCAGCCAUGCCGCGUGUGUGAAGAAGGUCUUCGGAUUGUAAAGCACUUUAAGUUGGGAGGAAGGGUUGUAGAUUAAUACUCUGCAAUUUUGACGUUACCGACAGAAUAAGCACGGCUAACUCUGUGCCAGCAG